CUGUGGCUCAGCAUGCUGGUCUGUGUCUCCAUGCUCUGCACCUGCUUCAUCGUCUACAUCUCCCGCAUGGACUGGAGGAAGGCUGCCGAGGAGGUAACCGCACACCACAGCAGCAUGCCCACCCCGCCGGAUGGUCCCCAGCAGCCUCGCUGUGAUCGCAGCGGGCUGGGAUAACAAAACCCAGGGUUCUGCAUCUGGGACCACGGCCACUUCCCUGCACUUGGCUGUUCCCUUAGGCUCAGCACCGUGCAGGAGUGACCCCGCUGCCACCAGAGGAGCCACACCCAGGCCCCGAACCCCCCAGCAAGGCGCUGCCCUCCGGUACAGGACCAACCCCACCGCCCCACGCUCACCUCCCAGCCGCUGCAGUGCGGGGCUGCGUAGCGGGGGUGGAAGCCCAGAACGGCGUGGUGCUCACGGCCAUCACCAGGCUGGAGGGAGCCACCUUUCAGCCGGAGCCCCAGGGAGAGCCACCGGGCAGCACCAUGUCCACCAAGGAGCUAAUCGUCCGGCGUGGGCUGGCAGUGGCUGCAGCCAUCAUCGUGCUUGCGCUUGGCAUCGUAAUAAAACUCAUGACCAGCAACCACUGACUUGCACCUGGGACUCCAGGGACUUUGGGGACGGAGGCCCCUCCUGACUGACGGAUGCACAGAGCACAGACCAGCCAGCAAAAGGAUCCAGCACCCGCAUGUCCCAUCAGAGCAGAUGCGUUCAGCCUUUGGCAGCAUCUCAUCAGAUCCUGCUUGGGGCCAGGCCCUACAGCUGCUCCAACACCCAAAAUGUUGCUCUGGGCUGCCCGACACGCACCGAGCAUGCAGGUAGCCCUUUCCCUGCCCACGCUGCCAACUGCUGCCUGCUGACCAGAGCUGCACAGCCCAGCUCACGCUGCUGCUCUGAAAAAUGCCAAAUAAAGAAUAAACCCAGCUGGGCUCAGGCUGUCUCCUUUGGGUCCUGUGCCUGGCACCUGCUGCCCUGCCCCUCGUAGUCCCAGGCCCCACGUGGCUUUCAUGGUAAAGCAAGGGUUUUAUUCAGCAAGGGUCAGGCUUCCAGUUACAGUCUCAGAGGUAAAAGACUACCAGUACACCAAAAAAACGAAAUGGAAUUAUGCACAAGGUCACCAGCUGCUCAGGCUCUUCCUCAGAGCUGGGUCACUGCAGCUCCCCCUUGCUGGUGCCCAGCUCCAGAUGCUGCACACCAACAGUGCCGGGUCCCUGGCGCUCCUGCGGUCCCCAUCCGUCACACUCAUUUUGUCAGGCUUCUUGCUGCUGUGAGACAGCUUUAUAAAGGGAUCACAGGAGACACGUUACGUAGAUAACGGGCCCAGUAACACGUGGCUUUCCUUUGAUGUGCUUGUGGCAUGAUCCCCCCGCGCCCAAGAGCUUUUCCAUGGGCUCCUGUUUGGAGAGCAGGACAGAGACACUGCCUCCUUCCGCCUGCACUGCUGAGGCAGGACCCAUGGCUUCAGACUGCAUCAGUCCAGCGGACCGAUUACCUCUGCAUUACCUGGGGUUCAUUUGCUUCUGCCUCAUUAGUGGGUCAGAUGCCUUGGAAGAGAAGAAGUUGCAGCAAGAAUAGGAAUGCAGGAUGAGAAUGAUGAGUUACAAGCCCAAUGUGCAGCUGAGUAUAGAGCACCCUUCGUCACGGGAACAUCACCUAAAGGGGCACAGAAACGUGGCUGAGUCUCACAGAGAAGGAACAGAGCCCUGGGGGGCCAUCAGGGAGAUCUGAGGCAAUGGUGGAUGGA
rnacentral:lncRNA from 1 species